GGACUACCCGGGUUUCUAAUCCUGUUUGAUCCCCACGCUUUCGGGUCUCAGUGUCAGUGUUUGGCCAGAUAGCCGCCUUCGCCUCCGGUAUUCCUCUUGAUAUCUACGUAUUUCACCACUACACCAAGAAUUCUACUAUCCUCUCCAACACUCAAGCUUCGCAGUAUCAAAUGCACUUCUAGGGUUGAGCCCUAGGCUUUCACACCUGACUUACAAAGCCACCUACACCCGCUUUACGCCCAAUAAUUCCGAACAACGCUAGGAUCCCUCGUCUUACCGCGGCUGCUGGCAC
rnacentral:rRNA from 1 species